AAUGCAUUGUAAUGGUGAAUCUAAGUAGUAAGUUAAAUUUUGGGGAAAUAAUACUGAAGCUUCAUCAUUAAAAUAUUUGGAUGAAUUCAACAAUGAUAAUGAAAAAAGAUCUUGGCUCUACAGAUGUAUGUAUUAAGUUUCAGAAAUAUCAAACUAAUUGAACAAUGGGGGCCGGAGAUAAUCUCUCACAGGCUGCCAAUCAACAAUACUAAAAUCAAUGCUGUCUGGAAUAUCAAUCUGAAUUAUCCGACUAAAAAACCCAACCAAUUUAAUCAACAUAUCAAUAUAUCGUCCCUUCCAUCCUGACUUGUUCUCAAUCUUCUGAAAAUCACAUCGAAUGGGAGCCCCGUCGAUUUCUCCACCAAGCAUCUCACAGAAACAAACUGCUACUUGACCAACGCCUUCCAUCAUCUCCGUCUCGUUUUUCUUAUCCAAACUGUCAUCUUGGCACUGAAAAAUAGCAGGUCCAUCCCUAUCGGUUUUGUGGUAUUCAGCAAUGGUUUUGGCGGUGGAAUUUGAUUUCUGAGUUCUGAUACCUGAACAAAUAUUACGUUAUGAAGUUGAAUCAGAUCGGAAUACCAUCAUUAUAAUUCUUAUAGUAUAUUACCAAUAUGAAUCCUCCCAAUUGUACCCAUCUUCAUAUAAAUCCAAGACUUUCCCGUUGCUCGAUCCAAAACAAUCCCAUCCAUGAGUGGUGAUCCAGUACCGACCCCAAGCUCAGACUCCCCACUAAACUUUACCCCACCACCGAAAUGCUCGAGUAGUUGUUUGACCAACGACCAGUUUGCAUUCCGGAUAAAAACUUGGUCAGCGAUCAACACGUAAUGCUUGUCAGGGUCGGGUUGUCGUGAGUUGACAAGUGAGAACAGGAUUGAGAUAGCAAUCCGGACAGUAUCUUGGUGACUAGACCCAUGGUGAAGGGAGACUCUGUCCAGCAUCGUUGGUUCUGACUUGUUGGUUUUCAUAAUUCUUAAAUGCAUAAAACUGGUGAGGGAUCUUCGUGGACCAUAGCUGUUCAUUUCAUCUCACCACAAACCACAAACUUUCCACAAACUACAAUCCACAAUUCCACAAACCACAAAGAAAUCUAGUCCACUUUCCACACCACAGUCCACUUUGUGGAUCCACACUUUGGUUUAAACAGCUACACAGGCUAAUUACAUACAUAAUUAAACACGUGUUUCAGAAUUUUUCGUAAUGCUCAGUUGCAACGAAGUUAUAAUGGUAUAUGUACGUGAGCGACAAUUUGCAUUUUUACAGCGAAAUUUGAAGAUCAAAAUUCCCGCUUACGGAUUAUAACAUGGUUUUCAGUGUGCAUUUUGAAAAACCAUGAAACCUGUGUUUAAAUAUUUAUCUAAGGCUAUAUCAUUCACAAGAAUGCCACAAAACUUAACCAUAACUAUAAACUACAGACCGGUCCACAUUGUGGACCAGUCUGUGGUUUUGUGGAUUGUAGUUAUGGACUCCACAACUACAAACCACAAACCUUUCCACAAACUACAAUCCACUAAUCCACAAACCACAAACCCUUCCACAAACUACAAUCCACAAUUCCACAAACUACAAACCCUUCCACAAACUACAAUCCACAAUUCCACAAACCACAAAAAAGUCGUGUCCACUUUCCACACCACAGUCCACUUUGUGGAUCCACACUGUGGUUUGAACAGCUAUGUCGUGGACUUCAGGAUGUCUUGUAAAGUGACGAUCGUCUUAGGAGAGUGGGUAUUACGAGUAUUCAGAAGUGCAAAACUUGGUGUGGCGUUGCUCGUAUCCCGUAUGAGAAAAUGUGUCUUAUUCCAGUUUCCAUGUUCAUCACAAAAAUUCCCAGCACUUCCAAGUUUCCAGCAAUAAUCGUCCUUGCAGAUCGGUUCUGUACGGCCAUAACUGAUCCUUCCUUCUUUGAAAGUGACUUGCAUCUCCGUUUGUGAAUCUUUUUUUGCCAGGUAGAUUAACCACCAAGGUUUUCCCAGAUUUUAACAACCUAUUCAAACGUUUGACAUUUUAUCUUACUCAAAUAAUUUAAUGUAUUAAAUGGAUUGGUAUUAUGUAUAACUUACUUUUUCAUUUCUGGCGAGCUUUUCAUAUCUUUGUCCUCUCCGAUCCAUUUCAGAUAGGUUUUCACGGCGUUGAAAACCAUUCCCGCUCUAGUAUUUUGUGCUGGUGGCGUCCACUUUUCAUCAUCAUCAACUUCUACGUGGGGUUCCCAAUUAAAUCUAGAUGAUGCUACUUCUGUCUUAAUAGGGGAACAUUCUAAAGAUAAACAAUUAAUUAAUUAUAAAACAAUUUCAUUCUACUAUUAGCUGCAAUAAUUAGUUGGUUGAAAUAAACUUACGCUCUAGUGGUUCGAAUGUACCGUCAUCUCUUUUAACGUACAAUUGAUCAACUGAUGAUGAUGAUGUUUUGGUUUCUUCCGAAACCAAAACUGUCUGAUUAAUGUUCAGCUUCGUCUUCUUCGCUGGAGGAGUUGUGGUAGCAGACGAUGUAGAUGGGUUAUUGCUGCUCGACGACAUGAUAACCGUAACAGUAGGUGAGAAUAUUUGGGAUGUGUCGAAACAAAUAAAUUCGAAAAGAUGUAAUUUCGGGAGUGAAAAUCAGACCUUGUUGACUGAGCGAGUGCUGCGCUACGAUAGGUUCAUACGAAUAAAG